rnacentral:rRNA from 1 species
UACGAAGGUGGCAAGCGUUGUUCGGAUUUACGUGGCGUACAGGGAGCGUAGGCGGUUGGAUAAGCCCUCCGUGAAAUCUCCAGGCUUAACCUGGAAAGUGCAGAGGGGACUGUUCAGCUAGAGGAUGGGAGAGGAGCGCGGAAUUCCCGGUGUAGCGGUGAAAUGCGUAGAGAUCGGGAAGAACACCGGUGGCGAAGGCGGCGAGCUGGUCCAUUACUGACGCUGAGGCGCGAACGUGGGUGGGAAGCAAGAUGA